GACGAACGCUGGCGGCGUGCUUAACACAUGCAAGUCGAACGGAAAGGCCCUGCUUUUGUGGGGUGCUCGAGUGGCGAACGGGUGAGUAACACGUGAGUAACCUGCCCUUGACUUUGGGAUAACUUCAGGAAACUGGGGCUAAUACCGGAUAGGAGCUACUGCUGCAUGGGGGGGGUUGGAAAGUUUCGGCGGUUGGGGCUGGACUCGCGGCUUAUGAGCUUGUUGGUGAGGUAGUGGCUUACCAAGGCUUUGACGGGUAGCCGGCCUGAGAGGGUGACCGGCCACAUGGGGACUGAGAUACGGCCCAGACUCCUACGGGAGGCAGCAGUGGGGAAUAUUGCACAAUGGGCGGAAGCCUGAUGCAGCAACGCCGCGUGCGGGAUGACGGCCUUCGGGUUGUAAACCGCUUUCGCCGGUGACGAAGCGUGAGUGACGGUAAUGGGUAAAGAAGCCCCGGCUAACUACGUG
rnacentral:rRNA from 1 species